rnacentral:rRNA from 1 species
GACGAACGCUGGCGGCGUGCUUAACACAUGCAAGUCGAACGGAAAGGCCCCCACCUUGGUGGGGGUGCUCGAGUGGCGAACGGGUGAGUAACACGUGGGUGAUCUGCCCUGUACUUCGGGAUAAGCUUGGGAAACUGGGUCUAAUACCGGAUAGGACCAUGGUUUAGUGUCUCAUGGUGGAAAAAUUAUUGUUUUGGUGCAGGAUGAGCUCGCGGCCUAUCAGCUUGUUGGUGGGGUAAUGGCCUACCAAGGCGUCGACGGGUAGCCGGCCUGAGAGGGUGGACGGCCACGUUGGGACUGAGAUACGGCCCAGACUCCUACGGGAGGCAGCAGUGGGGAAUAUUGCACAAUGGGCGCAAGCCUGAUGCAGCGACGCCGCGUGGGGGAUGACGGCCUUCGGGUUGUAAACUCCUUUCGUUAGGGACGAAGCCACACCUUUUUUGGGUGUGGUGACGGUACCUUUGUGAAGAAGCACCGGCUAACUACGUG